GUAGGUGGGCAAGCGUUGUCCGGAAUUAUUGGGCGUAAAGCGCGCGCAGGGCGGUCCUUUAAGUCUGAUGUGAAAGCCCACGGCUCAACCGUGGAGGGUCAUUGGAAACUGGGGGACUUGAGUACAGAAGAGGGAAGCGGAAUUCCAAGUGUAGCGGUGAAAUGCGUAGAGAUUUGGAGGAACACCAGUGGCGAAGGCGGCUUUCUGGUCUGUAACUGACGCUGAGGCGCGAAAGCGUGGGGAGCAAACAGGAUUAGAUACCCUGGUAGUCCACGCCGUAAACGAUGAGUGCUAAGUGUUAGGGGGUUUCCGCCCCUUAGUGCUGCAGCUAACGCAUUAAGCACUCCGCCUGGGGAGUACGGCCGCAAGGCUG
rnacentral:rRNA from 1 species